CCGGAUUUACUGGGUGUAAAGGGAGCGUAGACGGCAGCACAAGUCUGGAGUGAAAUGCCGGGGCUCAACUUUGGGACUGCUUUUGAAACUGAGUAGCUAGAGUGCAGGAGAGGUAAGCGGAAUUCCUAGUGUAGCGGUGAAAUGCGUAGAUAUUAGGAGGAACACCAGUGGCGAAGGCGGCUUACUGGACUGUAACUGACGUUGAGGCUCGAAAGCGUGGGGAGCAAACAG
rnacentral:rRNA from 1 species